rnacentral:lncRNA from 1 species
AUUGCUCUGUGUCCUCUGCUCCUAGAGGUCCAGCCUCUGUGGGCCUGUGACCUGCAGAAAUUGAGAGAUCCACAGCUAAGACUCCAGGACCCCCUGGAAGCCUAGAAAUGGGACUGUUGACAUUUAGGGAUGUGGCCAUAGAAUUCUCUCUGGAAGAAUGGCAAUGCCUGGACACUGCACAGCGGAAUUUAUAUAAAAAUGUGAUUUUAGAGAACUACAGAAACCUGGUCUUCCUGGGUAUUGCUGUCUCUAAGCAAGACCUGAUCACCUGUCUGGAGCAAGAAAAAGAGCCUUUGACUGUGAAGAGACAUGAGAUGGUGAAUGAACCCCCAGCCGUUGACAAACACCCUUGCACUUUCUAUGAGUGUGACUAAUUAAGAUAUCUCACAUAAGUGGAAUCAUAUAGUAUCCAUUUUGUUACUGGCUUACUUCAGUAAUGUGUUCUCAUUUUGCCCAAGAGUUUUGGCCAGAGCAGAACAUAAAAGAUUCUUUUGAAAAAGUGACACUGAGAAGAUAUGAAAAAUGUGGAAAUGAUAAUUUUCAGUUAAAAGGCUGUAAAAGUGUGGAUGAAUGUAAGUUGCACAAGGGAGGUUAU